GAUGAACGCUGGCGGCGUGCUUAACACAUGCAAGUCGAACGGUGAAGGCGGAGCUUGCUCUGCUGGAUCAGUGGCGAACGGGUGAGUAACACGUGAGCAAUCUGCCCCUGACUCUGGGAUAAGCGCUGGAAACGGCGUCUAAUACUGGAUACGAGCUGCGAAGGCAUCUUCAGCAGCUGGAAAGAAUUUCGGUCAGGGAUGAGCUCGCGGCCUAUCAGCUUGUUGGUGAGGUAAUGGCUCACCAAGGCGUCGACGGGUAGCCGGCCUGAGAGGGUGACCGGCCACACUGGGACUGAGACACGGCCCAGACGCCUACGGGAGGCAGCAGUGGGGAAUAUUGCACAAUGGGCGAAAGCCUGAUGCAGCAACGCCGCGUGAGGGACGACGGCCUUCGGGUUGUAAACCUCUUUUAGCAGGGAAGAAGCGAAAGUGACGGUACCUGCAGAAAAAGCGCCGGCUAACUACGU
rnacentral:rRNA from 1 species